rnacentral:misc_RNA from 1 species
UAACUUGACUUCAAAGCUUCUGUUUUUUUGGUUUAUUAGCCUUGAAUCGAGUCUAUGGUCUUCUCUACAUUUCACCAACCGAGGGCGCCACAUGGCGCGACCGCAGAAAGUGUGUUGUCAUCAAAAAGUGUCGUGUAUUUAUUUGUAUGUACUAGGCCUUCAAAGAAUACGCAGGUGGUGUCUCCAAAAUGUAAGCUUUUCCGACCUCCCUGGCAGAAUGGUCGUCAUCCUGGCUAAGACGUCGCUGUGCUCAGCCAAUAAUCUUGGCCAUGGAGAUGAAGCAGGCAGUAAGGCGAGUAAGGAUGUCAAGGCUCAUCCGCAAAGGCCAUCCACGCUUGAGUCUCAUAGGAGUCUUGCUAGCCGCCCUUUGUCUUGUCUACUUGAUCACUACGUGGCAAUUGGGAAUGAAUAAUAUCUUCCCGUUCUUGGAGAAGGGGCCCAAAAGUGUUGUGAUGCAUAGUGCCAUGGAGGUGCUGCAAGCUAGGUGGAGUGGUCUUAGCAACUCCCGACCCCACACUGCUUCCGGUAUGAUGAAGGAAAAGUGUGUGUCUAAUCCUAAAGGGAACUCAUCUAAAGCGUACAGACUGGACCCUCACCACCUGGAGAAACUUGCUACAAGCCUUCAAUUGGAUUUGGGCCAGGCCUGGGUGUCUCAAGCCCCCUCGCUUUUUGCAAAAGAGGAGUUUGAAGAUCUAAAAAUGCCACAGUUUCAGGCAAGGGUGCCGGCAUUAGUGUUCUUUAAGGACACCUUCUUGGCUUUCUGUGAGGCCAGGUUUGACUCCGUUCAAGACUGGGGCAACAUGAUGAUCGGCCUGAGGAGGGGCAACUUGAAGGGGCGUGAGGUUACCUGGGAGAGAAUACGAGUUAUAGCGGGCAUACCUGAACACAGGACAAUGAAUCCAACUCCCAUUGUUGAUCGUAAGAACAAUGCCAUUGUUCUAGUGUUCUCAGCCUUCCCAACACACAUGACCUACUUAGAUUUAAUGAAGCAUGCCGGACAACCAAUGUCCAGACUGUAUGUUAUGAAGAGUAAUGAUGUUGGCUUGACCUGGAGUGACCCUGUGGACAUCACCAAUCAAACUAUCGGCAAGAUCAAACCCUUUCCUGUCUUAUAUGCUCCAGGCCCAGGCCACUCUCUUCAAAUGAAUUGUGGAAGGAUCGUAGUUCCUGGAAAUUUCUUUACUACGGAGGAAAGAAGAAGAGGCAUCUCUGGCAUGUGCUCCAAUUGCAUCAAUCUAUCCAACAUUCUCUACAGCGAUGACGGGGGCACAACAUGGCACCUCGGGGCCAGAACGGCACCUGCCCAAGAUGCUAGUGGGGCUUCUAUCUACCCCAAUGAAGCGCAGCUUGCAGAAUUUGAUGAUGGUACCCUGUACAUGAAUCUUCGAACUCUGGACAGUGUACAGCCGAGGGCCUAUUGCCGUAGUUAUGACGGCGGCCAGACUUUGACUAGGAUUAAACUUCACCCGACUCUAGUGGAGCCAGGGUACAGGAGGAAGAACAAGGCAUGGAAGCCGGCAUUGCCCGGUGGCUGUCAUGCAAGCACCAUCUCUGUCAAUAUCAGCACACCCACUCCAGUUCCGACACCACAGAAAACAUGGCUGGUUUUCUCCAAUCCAGCCGACCCACUCGAACGUGUCAACCAGGGUAUUCGCCUGUCUGUCGACGGGGGUACCUCUUGGAGCAAUCCCUGGAUAAUCUUCCCCUACAAGUCUGCCUACUCUGACCUGGUGUACUUUGACAAGACAACUGCAGCUGGUAAACGUGAGCACUACUUUGCCGUUGUAUUUGAAGGGAUGCAUCAUCAACGAAAAACGACGUGAUGUGUUUUUCAAGUGGAUUGCAGUGAACUACGACGCCGAAGAUUCUAGUAUUGACCAUCAAUUUCAAGUGUGUAGUCCCAUCCAUUUUUCACCUGUCUCCUUUAGGUAGGUUCUCCUCGUUAUGCUGUCUACAUUUCCUAUGCCUUUCUGCCAAAUGGGUUCACAGGACAUAUAGUUUGCCAUGAAGGAGACCUUAAUUGAGAUGUAUGGCGAUCGACACAAAUACAUUUUGACUGCACUUCGAAGCACUUAGGCCUACACUUCAGACCACUGUUUUAUGUUGAGAUUCGUACACAUGUAUUAGCAUAUGGUACAAGCAAAUGGUAAAUGCAAAGUUCCAAGGAAAACCGCCUAAGUCAUCUCAGAAGUGUUUUGCGCAUUAAAAACUGAUUGGUUUAAUGGACUGGCUUUAGACUUCAGUCAUUCUCAGUUGAGGUAAAUCUUGCUUUUCUCUGUAGCAAAUUGAAAUGAUAUAAACUAGUCAGAAUUUAAUCCUAUUGGUGCGUCAUACUUGACGUCAUACUUAGUAUACCUUCUGAAGAGACGUCUUCGCUCUAAUACUAGUGGUAUUAAACUGUGAAUUUAAACUAGGCCACUGGAGAAUCUCUCCUCAACUCAACCUAUAAAGAUU